rnacentral:rRNA from 1 species
GACGAACGCUGGCGGCGUGCUUAACACAUGCAAGUCGAACGGAAAGGCCCUGCUUUUGUGGGGUGCUCGAGUGGCGAACGGGUGAGUAACACGUGAGUAACCUGCCCUUGACUUUGGGAUAACUUCAGGAAACUGGGGCUAAUACCGGAUAGGAGCUCCUGCUGCAUGGUGGGGGUUGGAAAGCUUCGGCGGUUGGGGAUGGAAUCGCGGCUUAUCAGCUUGCUGGUGGGGUAGUGGCUUACCAAGGCUUUGACGGGUAGCCGGCCUGAGAGGGUGACCGGCCACAUUGGGACUGAGAUACGGCCCAGACUCCUACGGGAGGCAGCAGUGGGGAAUAUUGCACAAUGGGCGGAAGCCUGAUGCAGCAACGCCGCGUGCGGGAUGACGGCCUUCGGGUUGUAAACCGCUUUCGCCUGUGACGAAGCGUGAGUGACGGUAAUGGGUAAAGAAGCACCGGCUAACUACGUGCCAGCAGCCGCGGUGAUACGUAGGGUGCGAGCGUUGUCCGGAUUUAUUGGGCGUAAAGGGCUCGUAGGUGGUCGAUCGCGUCGGAAGUGUAAUCUUGGGGCUUAACCCUGAGCGUGCUUUCGAUACGGGUUGACUUGAGGAAGGUAGGGGAGAAUGGAAUUCCUGGUGGAGCGGUGGAAUGCGCAGAUAUCAGGAGGAACACCAGUGGCGAAGGCGGUCCUCUGGGCCUUUCCUGACGCUGAGGAGCGAAAGCGUGGGGAGCGAACAGGCUUAGAUACCCUGGUAGUCCACGCUGUAAACGGUGGGUACUAGGUGUGGGGUCCAUUCCACGGGUUCCGUGCCGUAGCUAACGCUUUAAGUACCCCGCCUGGGGAGUACGGCCGCAAGGCUAAAACUCAAAGGAAUUGACGGGGCCCCGCACAAGCGGCGGAGCAUGCGGAUUAAUUCGAUGCAACGCGUAGAACCUUACCUGGGUUUGACAUGGAUCGGGAGUGCUCAGAGAUGGGUGUGCCUCUUUUGGGGUCGGUUCACAGGCGGUGCAUGGCUGUCGUCAGCUCGUGUCGUGAGAUGUUGGGUUAAGUCCCGCAACGAGCGCAACCCUUGUUCACUGUUGCCAGCACGUUAUGGUGGGGACUCAGUGGAGACCGCCGGGGUCAACUCGGAGGAAGGUGGGGAUGACGUCAAGUCAUCAUGCCCCUUAUGUCCAGGGCUUCACGCAUGCUACAAUGGCUGGUACAGAGAGUGGCGAGCCUGUGAGGGUGAGCGAAUCUCGGAAAGCCGGUCUCAGUUCGGAUUGGGGUCUGCAACUCGACCUCAUGAAGUCGGAGUCGCUAGUAAUCGCAGAUCAGCAACGCUGCGGUGAAUACGUUCCCGGGGCU